rnacentral:lncRNA from 1 species
UUUCUAAAAGAGCAAUAAAAGCUAAGUUCUUCUCUUUAAUAGUAUCAGCUAGAAAUCUUAUUUUAGCCAAGUCACUAAGACCUCUGCUAUUUCAGAAGAUUCCUUUCAUUUGGAAACAAUUUUGUAAUUAUAUAUAGGAAGUUUUACUUUACAAGUCUUUCUUCUUUGUGACUUAGCACAAGACUUGUAUUUUCCUGAUUCAGUAUUACCCUCUAGUUGAAUACUAUCAUCAUCAAAAACUUCCUCUAGAAGUUCCCCACAAAGAUACUGAAUAGCCUUGCUUUCUAUUUCUUUUAAAUCCCCCUCUUCUUCA